UACCAAUUGUGGUGUUGCCACUCAGCCCGUGCCACGACACAGUCCAUCCUCCACACUGGUUGCCAAUGUCAUUGGCAUGGCUGCCUGCGACCAGUAUUCUCGAUGCAUGCUUGGGAAGGGGUAGCAAUGGUUCAUCUUCGAAUCUAACAUUUUUUAGCAGAACAAGAGAUCUUCUCACUGCUUCCCUAGCCAGUUCCCUAUGCUCCUGUCCAAGUCAACAGUUCAAAUGCAUAAAACUUGAUGAUCUUCUCUAAUAAUCCUACAGAAUUGACAGCAGUCUGGGACCUGAGUAUAUUCUCAAAUCUCAACUUACCUGACUUCCAAGGUACUUAAUCAUGCUAUAAUCAGGAAAUGGGUACUCAAAUAGACCCAUCAUGAACUUCACCCUUAGAAUCCUCCGCACAGCAUCAUCAAUUCGGCUCAUAGAAAUGAAAGAGUUGUUCACCAAAUAGGUAAGACCAUCAAUGAAUUCUGUAUAGUUGUAGGGAAUCAUGAUCUGCAAUUCACCAUCAAUCAAAUAAGUAUGGUAAAAUGGACUAACAUGACUUAGCUUCUGACCAUAAUUUACUUUUGGAGCACAAUAUGAACUAACCAUGUCAAUGCCUGCAUUUACACCAACUAAAAUCGAAUAUGUGGAGUUUACAUGCUCUGGUGAAGUCAUCUUGUAAAUACCCUGAGAAUCUGAUAUGACAAACCCCUAAUAUAAUUCACAAACAUUUGAAAAUCAUAUUAUUUACUGCACUAGAUAGGUCUCAGACAUGGUAUUUAUCAAUUCAUGGAAAUCAACGGAGAGAUUAGCUUUACCUCAAAAUGUAGGGUAUUUUUGAGAAAGCCAGUAAUAAGAUCACGAUUAGCAUGCAUCUUUACACCAUUCCAGCUAGAGUAUGAGAUCAUGACAGUUGAUACGCCCUUAAUUAUUGAAUCAUUGUAGGCAGGCAUAUGGAUACGUAGCAGGUCAUCCCAGUUGGCCACUGUAUCGUACUCAUUGAUGCCUCGGAUGGUUCCACCAUCGCCAACAUAGUGCUUUGCACAUGCUAAAACAUUAUUUCUGCGCAUAAUCCAUCCAAAAGGAAGAAAUAUAAAGCAGUGUCUUUUCUAUGUUGAGCAUAUUGUUUAAGCUACAACUUAAACUUCAGCAAAGAAAUUUAGAAUAACUCCCCCAGCUAAAUCCCCAGACUCCAAAAGCAAUUCCCUUUCAGAAAAGAAACAUAAAAAAGAAGAACCACCACAAGGAAAUUUGAAAUUUGCUUAUCAGACCAAUGUGAUACAGAAAAAAACAUGCUUUAGCAUCAAUAAGUGCCUCUUAAAGCUUUGACUCUUCUAUGAAAGAAUUUUGGGCAAAGUUCUGUUUAUUGCACCACAUAUGAGCCAAAGUAAAAAUGAUUGAAGAAGUUUUGUUGCUCAUAUCAUCAUCAAAUAGUCAACCUUGUCGAUUUUUGUCUUAUGUUGUCAAACAGAACAAGGUAACGUCAUUCAUAUACGACUGCAAUCACAAUUCUUCUUAUUUUUGCUUUAAGUCUGCUUUGUUCUUUAUCCUUCUGUAAUAGUUUUAAAAUCCAAAUAGAGAAAAGUUCUAAAUAUUAGCAGAAUUUCAAAUAGAUUUGCAGUGAAAUGAAGAAAGUCAUAGACCUACAAAAACUAAGAAAACACAUCUAUUAAUUCCACCAAAUAACUGCCAGAAUGAGAGUACAAGACAUAAAAACUAGUACAAAACAUGAGAAUGGCUCUUCAUAUUCUAUAAUAGAAAAUGGGCAGGCCUCGAUAGCUGAAAAGCAAGUUAUUGACAUUGUUUGUUGCAAGACAUGAAAGGUACAAGUUGUUGAACCAUACAAUUACAGGAUGCAACCCUUUCAGUACCAUGGAAUGUGCAGUCUAACUAAAAGCCAGAAGGAAAAAUUGUUCAAGUCAAAGAUCCAUGCACACCAUUAAUUAAAGGUUAUCAUUUUGAAAAAACCUACUAUAUUAGACACUAAAUUCUAAAAGUUGGGAUGAAUUAGCAACUUAGGACUUUGUUCAGUAUUUUGUACACACCAGGAUUGAGAAGAAAUAAUUAGUUUGUAUGGAGCUUACUGUCCAGAAAUGUAGGGGACACCCUUAGGAGAAUCAGGAGGAACAUCUCCUUGUAAUCCUAGAAUAAUAUCAGUCAUUGCUUGAACAACUUGGGGAUCUUCACUAUAGCUUUCAAAACAGCGACCCCAUCUGGGAUCUCGACAGACCUGACAAGCAAUAAACUUUGAGUAAAAUGAACAGACUUACAAGAUUUUAAAGGUAAUUUCAGAGAGAAGAUCAUUUGAAUAAUUUUAUUACAGCAACGCAAGGUGCAAAAGAGUACUGUAUGCCUGCAGCUCUAACUUCAAGAGCAGUUGCAGCUCCUAUCUUCUUGACUAGUAAAGGAUCCCUGAUACAAUUAUUGCAGAGUUUAGCAUUAUACCAGCUGAUAAUGCUUAAUCUUCUAGCAAAGUGUCCUAAUCCAUAAUAUGGGAAAAUAGUGAUAGUAUGACAACACGUUUCCGAGAGAAGAAAAUCUUUUUGCUCUUAGCAACAGGACCAGAAAUAUUAUAAGACCAAGUUGUAGACUAGAUCUUCAAUUUGAACAGCUAUCUUUUCCAGGGUUCUGGAAGGCCAAAAUGUAAACUGGUUUUGCAUAAAAUGUCUCGCAAAAAACUUUUUCUUUAUUGCUUGCAAAAGUAGUUUCGAAUUUUCUCAUUCCACUGUUAUGUUGGUUCUGUUCUUUGUUUUAACAUCUCAUUGCAGCAAGUUUGGAAAAUUAACAUAGGACUUGACUAGAGUAAGGUAUAAAUAAUAGAUUCACUUUGAAUUUCAGAAAGCAACUUGCCUAGCUGCUCCAAGACCAAUAUUAUGAGGAAAAACUGUGGCUCCAUAUACAUCAUUGUUGCCAUGAAUUGCAUCGAUCCCAUAUAUGAUAGGUAUGCCAAGACGUGUUGAUAAAGCACCCUUCUGGAAUUCGUUCACCAUGUCCAUCCAGGUCUCAGGAGUAGCCCUGUUAGGUAAAAGACUUUCCCCACCAUUGAACACACUGCCUGCUCAAGAAAAUCAAAAUCUAUAUGAUUUGUUUAUAACUAAUCAAAUACUUGAGCAGACCUCACAGUUUCACAAAUCAUCAUUAAGUGAUACUCUAUCAAAGAGUAGGUAUACCAAGAGUGUGUGAUGUUUAUACCAAUAUAGUAGUUUCUCACGACUUCAGCUGAUGCAACAACGCGAUCAAUUUGGGACAUUUGACCAAUCUUUUCCGCUAGGGUCAUCCUGCUCAUUAAAUCCUUAACUCUCACGUCUACUGGCUGUUUAGGAUCUUUAUAUCUCAUGUACUCUGC
rnacentral:lncRNA from 1 species